UGUUAAAAUUUUCAUUUAUUUGUACGGUUAAAAACUAGAAUGAUUAAUAAAAUAACAAGAUAGUGAUGCUUAACGUGUGAUGAGUAUCUCAUGCUGAUGUACACAGAUCAAUUUUUAACAGAAAGAAAGAAUGAAAUUUUUAACA
rfam:Gossypium hirsutum cultivar TM-1 chromosome 12, whole genome shotgun sequence